UUAAUAAUUCAGCUUCAUGCCUCCAAUUACAUCUUAUAGUCAUAUAAUUUUUCAUCAUCAGGUUUUGCACGGUCUCAAUGCACAUACUCAUCACAAAAUAAGGGUCUAUAAUAUAUACGUACAGACUGCUCAAUAGUCAAUGCAAUUGGGCAAAAAAACAAUAAUAUUAUAGAUGAAUACAAAUCAGCUUAAUGCUCUCCCAUAACAAAUGUCCAUACACAGCAUGUGAGGAUUGAGGUUUUGGUUUCAGCAUUGUAAAUCAAUAUUAAGACUGCAUUUUAGAGAUUGGAACUAAGCUAAAUUCAUCCGAACGCAAGAAGCUUUGCACAUCAUUGAUAUAUAUAGUCAUAUUUAGUUAAUUGAGAUUCAAUCCUUCUCCGUUAUUCAAUCAAAUCAAUGAGCUUUACUACCUAAUUACUAGACACCUGCUUGAUUCUGUUGCUUCCUUUAGUUCCCAACUCCCUAUUUGUUUUGCAGACUUGCCCAUGUCUUAGGAGGAUUAUCAGAUGAGUAAUCAAAGAUAAAAACCAUAAUUAAAAAAUAAUCAUACAUGAAGAAAAGAGAGAGAUAAGCACAAUAGUCACGUCCUUUUGUUUCAGGGCCCAUGUUUGGUUGUCACGUCCUUUUGAGAUAAGCACAAUACACUGUCAUUUCUUAUAUUUUAUCCAUAACUCAUUUAUAUAUGUAGAUCUGUAUCUCAAGACUCUUAGCUGUGCCUGUACUUGCAUAUGCACAGGGUGUUACUGGUUUCCUGUGGUUUUCCUUGCUGCACUUUCCUCAUCCAUUGUUUACAUAUUCGUGGGUUUUUACCAUUAUAGUUGUUUCUUCAAAGCCAAAGAAGAAGGCAGCAGCAUACUCAUCUGAAGAUAAAGGUUACUGUUUAUCCUCCUCAUUGAACUAUUGUUUCCUCUGCUAGUUCCUGCUGGUGAUAAUGGCGAUGGUGAUGAUGAAGUUGCUAAUGAGGCUUCUUUAUCUUCUACUCCAGCCUUACACUCAUCAGUUGCAAAUCAGCUCAAGUCAGAGGGAGGCUAAGGCUUAUCCAAAAAGAAGCAAUUUGGAGCAUUAUAAAAGCUAGAAGCCAGCUGAAUUCCAAGGAGCCCUUCAUGGAGUUAAAGGGCAGUUUGGUAUUUUUACUAUGAUUAAUGGUAAAUUGAAUAAAAAUUGAAUAAAAGGAACUAUGUUAUAACUUA